UAUAUCAGUCAUGCAUAGCAUAUCAAUAAGCGGAGGAAAAGAAACUAACAAGGAUUCCCUUAGUAACGGCGAGUGAAGCGGGAAGAGCUCAAAUUUGAAAUCUUCAAGGUUUUACCUUGACGAAUUGUAGUUUAAAGAAGUGUUUUCUGUUGAAGUUUUGGUAAAAGUUCUUUGGAAUAGGACAUCAUAGAGGGUGAGAAUCCCGUAUUUGACCAUUACUUUCAGCUUUGUGAUACACUUUCAAAGAGUCGGAUUGUUUGGGAAUGCAGUCCAAAAUGGGUGGUAAAUUUCAUCUAAAGCUAAAUAUUGGCGAGAGACCGAUAGCGAACAAGUACCGUGAGGGAAAGAUGAAAAGAACUUUGAAAAGAGAGUUAAACAGUACGUGAAAUUGUCAAAAGGGAAGCGUUUGACACCAGUGUUGUUUUCUCGAAAAUCAAUUAAAAAGAGUUGGAUUUUGUGUUGUAUUGACUUUAUCAGCUUUCUUCACUCUUUUCCAGCUUUUUUUAAUGCACUUUUCGUUUAACAAGUCAACAUCAGUUUCUUUUGUUGUAAAAAGGUCAUUGGAAGGUGGCUUUCUCUUCGGGGAAAGUGUUUAUAGCCUUUGACUCAUGCAAUCGGAGAGACUGAGGUCUGCAGCGUAGAUCCUUCGGGGUUAGAUACAUUUGUGCUAAGUUAUAGCUUUUCAUAGACAACUUGUUGACUAUGUUUAGUCUUGUAGCUUACUCGCUUAUGCUAUUUUACCUACGCUUAGGAUGUUGAACUCUAUCACACACAG
rnacentral:rRNA from 1 species